CCGCCACUACCUCAGGACCCGGAGCUCCAUGGCAGCAGGAGCCCCGGGCCCUCUAAUUCGCCCCUGAGCCCUGGGAUUCCCAGCUGCCUCUGCAGCUAGUAGCUCUGGGGUGAUUUAAAGGACCUGGGGCUCACAGCUGGAGCCUCAGGGCCUUUAAAUCAUAGAAGGCCCCGCCUCUUCCGAUUGAGGCUGUGCCUCUUCCGAUUGAGGCCACACACCCCGCUCAGGACUCCGGUGUACCAGGACAUCAAGGAAUAAAGUCAUGUGGGGUGACAUUUCUGAGAGUCUGUCUCUUUGUUAUGGCUAGUGCUCUAGCAGGCUGGAUAUUUCUGUCACAUUGGUGCUUAGUAGACAGAGUAGAGAGAAUGAGAUGGUUCAUUACAAGUGAAUUGGAUCUCUGCAACAGUGAAGAACGGUAAUGAAAAUUCUCCUCCUGUGCCAGAGAGAUUCUGCCAAGAUGAAAACAAAUUCAGAUUAACAGUAACUUUAACAUGGUCAAUAUUGGAACAGUUUCAUAACAUGGUAUGUGUUCAG